rnacentral:tRNA from 1 species
GGGGAUGUAGCUCAGUGGCAGAGUGUCUGCUUAGCAAACAGAAGGCCAUGGAUUCAAUUUCCAGCAAUACAA